rnacentral:rRNA from 1 species
GACGUAGGGCGCGAGCGUUGUCCGGAUUUACUGGGCGUAAAGCGCGCGUAGGCGGCUUUGUAAGUUAGAGGUGAAAGCCCAGGGCUCAACCCUGGAAUUGCCUUUAAGACUGCAUCGCUUGAACAUCGGAGAGGUAAGUGGAAUUCCGAGUGUAGAGGUGAAAUUCGUAGAUAUUCGGAAGAACACCAGUGGCGAAGGCGACUUACUGGACGAUUGUUGACGCUGAGGUGCGAAAGCGUGGGGAGCAAACAGG